AACGAACGCUGGCGGCAUGCCUAACACAUGCAAGUCGAACGAGACCUUCGGGUCUGGUGGCGCACGGGUGCGUAACGCGUGGGAACCUGCCCUUAGGUUCGGAAUAACUCCCCGAAAGGGGUGCUAAUACCGGGUAAUGUAUUCGGACCAAAGAUUUAUCGACUUGGGAUGGGCCCGCGUUGGAUUAGCUAGUUGGUAGGGUAAAAGCCUACCAAGGCGACGAUCCAUAGCUGGUCUGAGAGGAUGAUCAGCCACACUGGGACUGAGACACGGCCCAGAAUCUUACGGGAGGCAGCAGUGGGGAAUAUUGGACAAUGGGCGAAAGCAUGAUCCAGCAAUGCCGCGUGAGUGAUGAAGGCCUUAGGGUUGUAAAGCUCUUUUACCCGGGAUGAUAAUGACAGUACCGGGAGAAUAAGCUCCGGCUAACUCCGUG
rnacentral:rRNA from 1 species